GAGUUUGAUCGUGGCUCAGAACGAACGCUGGCGGCAUGCCUAAUACAUGCAAGUCGAACGCUCGUAGCAAUACGGGAGUGGCGGACGGGUGAGUAACGCGUGGGAACCUGCCCAGUGGUAGGGAAUAACCGCGGGAAACUGCGGCUAAUACCCUAUGAGCCCUACGGGGGAAAGAUUUAUCGCCAUUGGAGGGGCCCGCGUCGGAUUAGCUAGUUGGUGGGGUAACGGCCCACCAAGGCGACGAUCCGUAGCUGGUCUGAGAGGAUGAUCAGCCACACUGGGACUGAGAUACGGCCCAGACUCCUACGGGAGGCAGCAGUAGGGAAUAUUGGACAAUGGGCGAAAGCCUGAUCCAGCAAUGCCGCGUGAGUGAAGAAGGCCUUAGGGUUGUAAAGCUCUUUCGGCGGGGAAGAUGAUGACGGUACCCGCAGAAGAAGCCCCGGCUAACUUCGUGCCAGCAGCCGCCGCUGUAAG
rnacentral:rRNA from 1 species